rnacentral:rRNA from 1 species
GGCGCACGGGUGCGUAACACGUAUAUAAUCUACCCAAAACUGGGGCAUAGCCCGAAGAAAUUCGGAUUAACACCCCAUAACAUUGCGAUGUGGCAUCACAUUGCAAUUAAAUCUCCGGAGGUUUUGGAUGAGUAUGCGUCCGAUUAGCUAGUUGGUGAGGUAACGGCUCACCAAGGCGACGAUCGGUAGGGGUACUGAGAGGUUACACCCCCACACUGGUACUGAGACACGGACCAGACUCCUACGGGAGGCAGCAGUAAGGAAUAUUGGACAAUGGUCGCAAGACUGAUCCAGCCAUGCCGCGUGCAGGAUGACUGCCCUAUGGGUUGUAAACUGCUUUUGUACGGGAAUAAACCCUUGGACGUGUCCGAGGCUGAAUGUACCGUAAGAAUAAGGGUCGGCUAACUUCGUGCCAGCAGCCGCGGUAAGACGAAGGACCCGAGCGUUAUCCGGAUUCAUUGGGUUUAAAGGGUGCGUAGGUGGAUUGAUAAGUCAGUGGUGAAAUCUCCAGGCUUAACCUGGAAACUGCCAUUGAUACUGUCGAUCUUGAAUAUGUUUGAUGUGGGCGGAAUAUGACAUGUAGCGGUGAAAUGCUUAGAUAUGUCAUAGAACACCGAUUGCGAAGGCAGCUCACAAAGCCAUUAUUGACACUGAGGCACGAAAGUGUGGGGAUCAAACAGGAUUAGAUACCCUGGUAGUCC